UUAUCAAGGUUUACAUUUACAUCAAAUGUGGAACUAUUAGUAUGGAAAGCAAUAUCGAAUUUGGAUGGCUAGUUGGCUAGAGCAGGUUCAGGACUUGUGGAUGACUUGGAAAAGCUUCCAUAUGUUUGUGUUGCAUUGGAUCAAUUACAACAAAGGCAAAAGUGUUGGACUGGGCAACCAAUGUGUGACAAUGGUAGAAAUGAUAAAUGUUCCAACAAUAGGAAACAAUCUUGAGAGCUUUUGUUAACUGUAAAUGUGAAACUUUUUGAAGAAAUAAAAUGUAAAAAAAGGUGCAGGAAUCUCAAGGAGAAUGAGCAUGA
rnacentral:misc_RNA from 1 species